rnacentral:rRNA from 1 species
GGGGAGUAUGGUCGCAAGACCGAAACUCAAAGGAAUUGACGGGGGCCUGCACAAGCUGUGGAGCAUGUGGUUUAAUUCGAUACAACACGCAAAACCUUACCAACCCUUGACAUAUGAACAACAAAACCUGUCCUUAACAGGAUGGUACUGACUUUCAUACAGGUGCUGCAUGGCUGUCGUCAGCUCGUGUCGUGAGAUGUUUGGUCAAGUCCUAUAACGAGCAAAACCCUCGUUUUGUGUUGCUGAGACAUGCGCCUAAGGAGAAAUUGCCACCGAGUGACGUGCCAGUGCUACUACUUGAUUGAGUGCCAGGACGUAGCUGUGCUUUCAGCAAGAAUUUCACCAUUGGAGCCGGUGUCUUUUGAAGCACUUUCACGUGUGAACCGAAGUCGUCUUGCCCAAGAACCACGGAGACCUACCUAUAGUGACGUCAAAGUACCAGUGAGCAUGGAGGUUUGGUUGAAAUUGGUUACGACGACGUCGAGUUGGCGGUGGAGGAAGACUCGGCAUGAAGGCCGGAAAAUGGUGUGGAACGUAGUGGUAAUAGUACGCGCCCCGCUCCGAAACAAAGAAAAAGGUGCGUGCCGCACUCACGAGGGACUGCCAGUGAGAUACUCGAGGAAGGUGGGGAUGACGUCAAGUCCGCAUGGCCCUUAUGGGCUGGGCCACACACGUGCUACAAUGGCAAUGACAAUGGGAAGCAAGGCUGUAAGGCGGAGCGAAUCCGGAAAGAUUGCCUCAGUUCGGAUUGUUCUCUGCAACUCGGGAACAUGAAGUUGAAAUCGCUAGUAAUCGCGGAUCAGCAUGCUGCGGUGAAUAUGUACCCGGGCCCUGUACACACCGCCCGUCACACCCUGGGAAUUGGUUUCACCCGAAGCAUCGGACCAAUGAUCACCCAUGACUUCUGUGUACCACUAGUGCCACAAAGGCCUUUGGUGGUCUUAUUGGCGCAUACCACAGUGGGGUCUUCGACUGGGGUGAAGUCGUAACAAGGUAGCCGUAGGGGAACCUAUGGCUG